UCGUCGGCCAGGCGGGUCAGGUCAUCCUCGGUGCCGGCGGCGUCGGGGGCGGUCGCUAUGCCGAUGCUCACACCGAUCGAUGCGGUGCCGUCGCGC
rnacentral:tRNA from 1 species